ensembl:snRNA LOC120094407 U6 spliceosomal RNA
AUGCUCACUUUGGAAGCACAUAUACUAACAUUGGUAUAAUACAGAGAAGAUUAGAAUUGCCUCUGUGAAAGGAUGAGAUGCAAAUUCAUCAAGUCUUCCAGAUUUUU